AGAACGAACGUAAGCGGCGCGCUUAACACAUGCAAGUCGAGCGAGAAAGGGAGCAAUCCCCGGUACAGCGGCGCACGGGUGAGUAACACGUAGGUAUUCUGCCUUCGAGUGGGGGAUAACCUUCCGAAAGGAGGGCUAAUACCGCAUAAGACCACGACUCCGAGAGGGGAUGAGGUCAAAGCCGGCCACUAUACAUAAGCUGGCGCUUGAAGAUGAGCCUGCGGCCCAUCAGCUAGUUGGUAGGGUAAUGGCCUACCAAGGCUAAGACGGGUAGCUGGUCUGAGAGGACGAUCAGCCACACUGGAACUGAGACACGGUCCAGACUCCUACGGGAGGCAGCAGUGGGGAAUCUUGCGCAAUGGGCGAAAGCCUGACGCAGCGACGCCGCGUGAGUGAUGAAGGCCUUCGGGUUGUAAAGCCCUGUGGAGGGGGACGAAUAAGUCAUGGCUAAUAUCCAUGGUGAUGACGGUACCCCUUUAGCAAGCACCG
rnacentral:rRNA from 1 species